UUAGGCGAGUUCAUUAGCCAAGAGGCAUCAAACUGCAAAAGGAGUAUAAUUAAUCUAGAUCCACAAGACAUGGGUCGGGGAACCUUGUACCCCCUCCCAACAAGUAAAGAAGUAGACACGUAUUUAGAAACAGCAAUGGUUGGUUAGACCUCGUCUAUCGAUGUAGCACAUCGGCUGCCUUGUACCUUGAUCGGGCUACAGGCGGUGUAUAUAUUCCUGAGGUUGCCUACCACACCGCGGCGCGCGCAUUUCCUCCCAGCCUUCAGCGUUUCAAAGCAUCGUGCGCCUAGCUAACUGAGUUUCUCUCGGUCCCUGUCUCCAACCAAGUAUUUAACGCGUGAAAUCUUAAUUUUUUUCGCUUCUUUUCUCUCUCUCUUUCUCCCCUCCCCCGCUUCGUGAGCGUGCGUGCAUGGCCUCCCCGUUUCCCCUCUCCCUGUGAGAAAUUCGAUAUUCGAUCUGCUUCCCCUAUCUUUGCGUGGAUUGGAUAAUGGCAACAUCAGGAAGUUGGAACUUCGGCGUGAAGAAGAAUCUUGCAGGCAGUUUCUCAUGAUGUAAUCAGCAUUCCACCCCCUCCCCCGCGCGCCUCGCUUUCUACAAAGUAUAUAUGCAAUGCAACCCCUUGGAAAUAGGGAGGGGGCGUCAGAAACUUGAAGUUAUCUGUUGCUGUGCUGGAGAGGUGUGGUUAAGACGAGUUAGAUCUUUUCUCUCCCAGCCUCCUGGUCUCGAGAAAGGAAGCAAUAAUCGUCAUGGGAUUAUGCAUUCUUACUUAAAAAGCAAAAUCGCAAAGGCUCCCCCUUACCCUCUGUAGUGUUCACUGUGAGCUCCUUGGAGCAAGAAGGUCAACUACAGAAAGAGGGGAUCAUGCAUCAAGUUGGGCAUUGCUCGCACUGAAUGGGUUUAAGGAGAAAAUGCUAUGUUCUGAGAGCACUGUUGUUAUCUUCUAUUUGCCCAAGAUAAGAGACUGCCUCAAUCAAUUGGAACUCUGGUGACAAACAACAAAGCAGGUUAAGAAGCUGAUCAACAGAAUAAAAAUAUCAUAUAUCCCCAAGAUGAAUAUCCACAAGCAAUCAAUUGGAUAGAGUUAGGGUUCGGGUCAUGUUGGAAUUGUAUAGUUUUCAGUGCCUUGCAAAAAUGCAAAGAGGGAAGGGACCAAGUGUAUUUCUGGAAAAAGUGUAUUUCAGAGCACUGGAGCUACAACAGGGAAACAAAAUAUUCUGCUUAGUCUACCCUCCACACCCUUCUUAGAGGGAGGGUUCUCAGCAGGCUUGAUGUAGAUGUUCAGACCAACAGGUAGAUUCAGUUCUGGCUAGGUUGUUCCUGUUGUAACCUGAUGCUACAUUGUCCAGGGCUUCCAAGCUCUAACCCACAUUUUGAAUUGACUUGGAGGCUUAUUGUGAAUCAGUGCUGCUAUACUUAGAGUUGGUGCUAUUCUGUAAUAGGGGCUUAAUUCUGCCAGAGGUCUGGUCAGCACAUUAUGAAACAGGUACAGCUUCUAAGCUGUCUUCAAAGGCAACUCCGUGUGGCAGGUAUGGCAAUUAUCCAACCAAGCAUUGAUCAGAGGCUGACUCACCAGAGUAAACUAAUGGGAUCAGAAUGCUCUGAUGUUUAUUGAUGACAAGCAAUUUCAUCUAGAGUUUAAUUUGAAUUUGUUUCACUCUAGCUAGACUCCAACAACUUCCAGACACUGGUUCAGGCUUUCUAACACAGCCCAGGGUGGAUUUUUAUAGCUAAAUGACAUCAGUAUAUUAAGGAAACUGCACCGUAAACUGACAGAUAACCUCUCGAGGGAGAAGAAUGAGUCAUGGGAAACAUGACACUGUGGUAACCAAGGACUAGAGUAUUUUCCCUCCAUUACUUCUGAGUUGCACUGCCCACUUAGGUAGAAAUAGAACCACCUUUGAAUGGUGCUCCUAAUUCCCAGCCCUUGUAGAUGAUCCAGAAGGACACCAUGACUGAAUGACACUGAGAGAUCUCAUAAGUCCCCCUGUCCAGGUGUCUCUGCAAAUCAUUGACCAGAGCAACAAAUGUUUCUAUAUCAUAGCCAUCAUCUUUAUUGGUAAACAGAUAAUCGGUUGCUUUCCACAGAUAGCUGCCUUCCAAAAGGUUAGAAAUGUGCACCAUGCAAUCAUUGUCAUCAACCAAUAAGAGCAAUAAAAUAUCUCAUCAAGCCCACUGAUUUUUUAAGAGAUCUCAGCAUAUCAAGCAUAAUGAGAUUUUUAGGAAUGUAUUGAAUGCUUGCAAUUGAUAUCAGACAGAUAGACAGGCAGGCAGAAAAGGAAAUUUUGGAAGGGAGACAUGUCCACGGAGAGGUCAUUUCCUUGAUAUCUGUUAUUUAACAGCUUUGAUUACUGGUUCAGAAACCAAGAUCUCUGAUAGUGUAGGCAGGCUUGUAUGGUGACACAGUUCUUUGGAAAACCCAGUUUCAACCCUUAUAGGCCAAAACAAUAACUUUAAAUUGGGCACAGAAGUAAAUAGGUAGCUAAUAAAAGUGAAGCAAAAUUGAUGUAAUGUGAUUUGACCAUCUGGCACUUAGGAGUAUUCUUGCUUUUACAUUCUAUAGCAAUUGCACUAUGGGGACAUCUUUAAAAGCAGUCCCAUAUAAAAUGCAUUACAAUAAUCAAAUCAGGUUAUAAGAAAAGAGUGUAUUAUAUUGUCCAUGCUAUCACUUUAGGAGACUUAUGACAGAAAGCAGCUGGCCAAGCCUGACUGAUAUUAACAAGUAUAAGCAGGCUCAAACUUACAAAUGAGAUUGCCAGGAAGCCCCAGGGCUGUGGUAUGGACUAGGAAGGUAAAAAGAAAGCAGUUACAAAUUAUGUCAGUAUGGUUGCCAGAGAACUACAUGAACAUAUCUGUGAAGACAUCAGGAAUCAAGAUUAAGUCUGAGAAGAAU